UUUCUUUCUUCAAAUAUAUAUAUGUGGAAUCCUCAAUUAGCACUACUCCUUUACGGAGUAUUUAAGAAUUAAUAUAUUUUUGA
rnacentral:miRNA from 1 species